rnacentral:rRNA from 1 species
UCAAGCGAAUAAGCGCACACGGUGGAUGCCUUGGCGGUCAGAGGCGAUGAAGGACGUGGCAGCCUGCGAAAAGUGUCGGGGAGCUGGCAACAAGCUUUGAUCCGGCAAUGUCCGAAUGGGGAAACCCACUGCUUCGGCAGUAUCCUGCAGUGAAUUCAUAGCUGCUGGAAGCGAACCCGGUGAACUGAAAUAUCUAAGUAACCGGAGGAAAAGAAAUCAACCGAGAUUCCCUAAGUAGUGACGAGCGAACGGGGACUAGCCCUUAAGCUGGUAUGGUUUUAGAAAAACAACCUGGAAAGGUUGGCCAUAGAAGGUGAUAGCCCUGUAUUUAAAAGGGCCAUACCAGUGAAGACGAGUAGGGCGGGGCACGUGAAACCCUGUCUGAACAUGGGGGGACCAUCCUCCAAGGCUAAAUACUCCUGACCGACCGAUAGUGAACCAGUACCGUGAGGGAAAGGCGAAAAGAACCCCGGAGAGGGGAGUGAAAUAGAUCCUGAAACCGUGUGCGUACAAGCAGUAGGAGCUCGUAAGAGUGACUGCGUACCUUUUGUAUAAUGGGUCAGCGACUUACUGUUCGUGGCAAGCUUAACCGUAUAGGGGAGGCGAAGGGAAACCGAGUCUGAUAAGGGCGCAUAGUCGCGGGCAGUAGACCCGAAACCGGGUGAUCUAGUCAUGCCCAGGGUGAAGGUCAGGUAACACUGACUGGAGGCCCGAACCCACUCCCGUUGCAAAGGUAGGGGAUGAGGUGUGAUUAGGAGUGAAAAGCUAAUCGAACCCGGAGAUAGCUGGUUCUCCUCGAAAGCUAUUUAGGUAGCGCCUCAUAUGUAUCCUCUCGGGGGUAGAGCACUGUUAUGGCUAGGGGGUCAUCGCGACUUACCAAACCAUUGCAAACUCCGAAUACCGAGACGGACUGUAUGGGAGACACACGGCGGGUGCUAACGUCCGUCGUGAAAAGGGAAACAACCCAGACCCACAGCUAAGGUCCCAAAUUCACUGCUAAGUGGAAAACGAUGUGGAAAGGCAUAGACAGCCAGGAGGUUGGCUUAGAAGCAGCCACCCUUUAAAGAAAGCGUAAUAGCUCACUGGUCGAGUCGGUCUGCGCGGAAGAUUUAACGGGGCUAAGCAGUGAACCGAAGCUUGGGGUGCAUCGCGUUAAGCGAUGCGCGGUAGAGGAGCGUUCCGUAAGCCUGCGAAGGUGGAUUGAGAAGUCUGCUGGAGGUAUCGGAAGUGCGAAUGCUGACAUGAGUAACGAUAAUGCGGGUGAAAAACCCGCACGCCGAAAGCCCAAGGUUUCCUUGCGCAACGUUAAUCGGCGCAGGGUGAGUCGGCCCCUAAGGCGAGGGCGAAAGCCGUAGUCGAUGGGAAGCAGGUUAAUAUUCCUGCACCUCGCGUAAGUGCGAUGGAGGGACGGAGAAGGUUAGGUGUACCGGGCGUUGGUUGUCCCGGGGAAAGGCGGUAGGUUUGGAUCCUUGGCAAAUCCGGGGUCCUUUAAGACCGAGCACCGAGACGAGUCUUUGAGACGAAGUCACUGAUACCACGCUUCCAGGAAAAGCUCCUAAGCUUCAGCUUACGCAGACCGUACCGUAAACCGACACAGGUGGGUAGGAUGAGAAUUCUCAGGCGCUUGAGAGAACUCGGGUGAAGGAACUAGGCAACAUGGCACCGUAACUUCGGGAGAAGGUGCACCCUUUUUGGUGGCUCGUGCGAGCUAUAGCUGAAGAGGGUCGCAGAAACCAGGCCGCUGCGACUGUUUAUCAAAAACACAGCACUCUGCAAACACGAAAGUGGACGUAUAGGGUGUGACGCCUGCCCGGUGCUGGAAGGUUAAUUGAUGGGGUCAGCCGCAAGGCGAAGCUCUUGAUCGAAGCCCCAGUAAACGGCGGCCGUAACUAUAACGGUCCUAAGGUAGCGAAAUUCCUUGUCGGGUAAGUUCCGACCUGCACGAAUGGCGUAACGACAGCGGCGCUGUCUCCACCCGAGACUCAGUGAAAUUGAAAUCGCUGUGAAGAUGCAGCGUUCCCGUGGCAAGACGGAAAGACCCCGUGAACCUUUACUAUAGCUUUACACUGAACGUUGAGUUCGUCUGUGUAGGAUAGGUGGGAGGCUAUGAAACCAUGGCGCUAGCUGUGGUGGAGCCAUCCUUGAAAUACCACCCUGUCGUGCUUGACGUUCUAACCUAGGUCCGUGAUCCGGAUCGGGGACCGUGUAUGGUGGGUAGUUUGACUGGGGCGGUCUCCUCCUAAAGAGUAACGGAGGAGCACGAAGGUACGCUCAGCGCGGUCGGACAUCGCGCACUGUGUGCAAAGGCAUAAGCGUGCUUGACUGCAAGAUCGACGGAUCAAGCAGGUACGAAAGUAGGUCUUAGUGAUCCGGUGGUUCUGUAUGGAAGGGCCAUCGCUCAACGGAUAAAAGGUACUCCGGGGAUAACAGGCUGAUACCGCCCAAGAGUUCAUAUCGACGGCGGUGUUUGGCACCUCGAUGUCGGCUCAUCACAUCCUGGGGCUGUAGUCGGUCCCAAGGGUAUGGCUGUUCGCCAUUUAAAGUGGUACGCGAGCUGGGUUCAGAACGUCGUGAGACAGUUCGGUCCCUAUCUGCCAUGGGCGUUGGAGAUUUGAGAGGGGCUGCUCCUAGUACGAGAGGACCGGAGUGGACGAACCUCUGGUGUUCCGGUUGUCACGCCAGUGGCAUUGCCGGGUAGCUAUGUUCGGAAGCGAUAACCGCUGAAAGCAUCUAAGCGGGAAGCGCGCCUCAAGAUGAGAUCUCCCGGGACACAAGUCCCCUAAAGGAACCAUGUAGACUACGUGGUUGAUAGGUCAGGUGUGUAAGUGCAGCAAUGCAUUGAGCUAACUGAUACUAAUGAUCCGUGCGGCUUGACCAU